UACGAACGCUGGCGGCGUGCCUAAUACAUGCAAGUAGAACGCACAGUUUAUACCGUAGCUUGCUACACCAUAGACUGUGAGUUGCGAACGGGUGAGUAACGCGUAGGUAACCUGCCUGGUAGCGGGGGAUAACUAUUGGAAACGAUAGCUAAUACCGCAUAAUAUUAAUUAUUGCAUGAUAAUUAAUUGAAAGGUGCAAUUGCACCACUACCAGAUGGACCUGCGUUGUAUUAGCUAGUAGGUGAGGUAACGGCUCACCUAGGCGACGAUACAUAGCCGACCUGAGAGGGUGAUCGGCCACACUGGGACUGAGACACGGCCCAGACUCCUACGGGAGGCAGCAGUAGGGAAUCUUCGGCAAUGGACGAAAGUCUGACCGAGCAACGCCGCGUGAGUGAAGAAGGUUUUCGGAUCGUAAAGCUCUGUUGUAAGAGAAGAACGGGUGUGAGAGUGGAAAGUUCACACUGUGACGGUAUCUUACCAGAAAGGGACGGCUAACUACGUG
rnacentral:rRNA from 1 species